rnacentral:rRNA from 1 species
UACGUAGGCAGCAAGCGUUGUUCGGAAUUACUGGGCGUAAAGAGUGUGUAGGCGGUGCUCUAAGUUCGGUGUGAAAUCUCCCGGCCCAACUGGGAGGGUGCGCCGAAAACUGGGGUGCUGGAGCGCGGGAGAGGAAAGCGGAAUUCCUGGUGUAGCGGUGAAAUGCGUAGAUAUCAGGAGGAACACCGGCGGUGUAGACGGCUUUCUGGACCGUAGCUGACGCUGAGACACGAAAGCGUGGGUAGCAAACAGG